GUUCGUUGGUGCGGCUGGCAAGAAUAGUCAGUCGAUGGCGCGAGGUGGCGCGUGGAUGGCGGCGGCGGCGGCGGCGGCGGUGUGGUGGAUGGCGGCGGGGGCGGGGGCAGUGUGGCUGGAGAUUGCGCCGUCGGGGGCCAAGUGCGUGUCGGAGGAGAUCCAGUCCAACGUCGUCGUCAUCGGCGACUACUCCGUCCUGUACGAGCACCACCACGCCCACCCAACCGUCGCCGUCAAGGUUACAUCCCCUUUUGGAGACAUUGUGCAUAAGAAAGAAAAUGUUUCAGUGGACCAGUUUGCAUUUACCACAGCAGAAGCUGGAAACUACCUGGCUUGCUUUUGGGUUGAUGGAGAGGACAGAGGGUUAGUGGUGAAACUAAAUCUUGACUGGAAAAUUGGGAUUGCUGCUAAAGACUGGGAUUCUGUUGCUAAAAAGGAAAAGAUUGAGGGAGUUGAGCUAGAGUUACUCAAGCUUGAAAUAGCUGUCCAAUCAAUCCAUGAAAACCUGCUUCUGCUCAAAUCCAAAGAAGCUAACAUGAGAGAUGUCAGUGAGAAGACAAAUGCUAGGGUCACGUGGUUGAGCGUGCUGUCUCUUAGCGUUUGCGUCGCAGUCUCUGUUUUGCAGCUGUGGCAUCUACAAGAGUACUUCCGUAAGAAGAAGCUCAUCUAAGUGACAUUCGUAAUGAAGCCCUCUGGAAUAAGCGUAUUGUUGUGUUUCAUUUUGUGCAUAUGAGAUGUGAUACUUUUGCCAUCACGAGUGAAGCAGUUUUGUAAAUAAACUGCAUGCAAAGCAGUAUUUUACUUCCAUGGACAGAUCAACGUUAUUUCCACUGUGCCAGCUUCAUGAGGCGGCUGACCCUCUUGCCACAGCCACAAGAAAAUCUCUGUAAUCACUCUGAGGCAAGCUUUCGCGGAUGAA